rnacentral:rRNA from 1 species
GACCUCCGAUCAAGAAAAAGGACCCACUGAAUUUAUA